CACAGAUUUGAUAGGAAGGAUUGAGAACAUAGAACAGAGAGCACAUGUUCAGCAAUGAAGAUAAAAUGUAAUAGUAAACAGCUGUCUCAAUUCCUUGACCUUGGGGUAAUUUCUGUACCAAAUACAGACUGACUUCUCUGUUAAAAUAGCAUGUGACCACAUCAUUGAAGACCACAAAAGAACACAAAAAUGAAGGCUUACCAGACAAUCUGAAACGUGUUGUUACAGCUCACUGAGAAAUUCAAAAAAUAAUUCUGCAAGAUAUUUUAAAUGUGUUUCAUUUUGAAAUGUCUGAAAUGUCAUCGUUUUAAUGUGUUUGAAAGCAGUACUGAAAAUGGUGUUGAACUAAAAACAUUUGCAUAUUGAAACUUUUUUAGAAAUUAAGAACAGGAGAUCCUGAGAGAACAUUCAGCAACCUGGACAUUCAGUUGCUUAUUUCCUUAUGAAACUGGUCUUAAAUCCAGUCGAUGAGAACUUGAACUGGAGUCAGUUUUCAGGCACAAGCCACUUCAGAAUUAAGGAUUCACUUACAUCAGUACCGAAUGAGUGCAAAAUGAAUGGACCUAAGUGAAUACUGAUUCAGGUUUCCAUUUCUACAUUGCUUCCUUAUUGAUGGAGUUCUUCAGCCCCUCUUCACUUGACAGAGAUUUACACAAUCAUCUACACAUGAGUUAAAAUACAAAAAGAACGCUUAAAUUCUUUUAUAAGAAUGUCAGAUCAUACACUGUAAAUCAUUAACAAGUUUUUUUCCUUAGUAUUUCAUUUCAUUUCAUACUCCUAUCCAUCUUGUAUUGCUUUCCACUCGCUUACUGAAAACUAUUUAAAGUUUGUAAGUAAACUAAAAUGUAAAACUGAAAUACUAAAAUAUAAAAUGUGCAGUCUUUUUUUACAUCCCUCUAUCAUCUCUUUGGUGUUCUGCACAAUAAUAAUAAAUGCUCUGUUUUUCU
rnacentral:lncRNA from 1 species